rnacentral:lncRNA from 1 species
UCCUAUAUAAUUAUGACAUCCCUAAACCUGCAAUUUAUACAAUUAACUCCCAAAAAAGAUACAAUAUUCAAUCAACCUCCACAACCAACUUUCUCAAUUAAAUACCAAUAUCCUUCAAACAUAUAAUGUCAAGAAUAUAAUAAUUUAUCCUUAAUCAUAAAUAAAUAAUAAAUUAUACAAUUCAAAAUAUCCCAACAAAAUAUCUAUGAUUUCUAACAUCAUCACGUGGCCAAAAUUUCAAAUCUAACUAUCGUUGUUGGGUCGACUAAUGUACCUGCAAAUCUCCUGUGGAGGAGAAAAAUAUAAUAAAAACAGAGUUAGUAUGAAACUCAGUGAGCUCAGUGAGUAGAUAGUAAUUUUCGAAAAAUAAAUUUAUUUAAGAUUUAAUCUUUCCCAAAUCAAUUUCAUCGAAAUAUCAUAAGAACUUACAUAAACUUAUUUAAUUCAAAUCAUGCACUGAAAUAACAAUAUUCCAUAAAUCCGCAUAAAAUCAAUAAAAUCAUAACACUUAUAAUAUCAAAUAUUGAAUACCAAAAACUAUCACCAAACAAUUAUCUAGGGGAAUAAUCUCAUCAUAUCCGGACCUCGACGGAUGGGCAAUCAGGGAACCAUCAUACCCCGGAGCUACAACGGAUAGACGGGAAAAUGCCAUCUCAUAUCUCAUAUAUCUCAUAAUAUCUGUGCAUGCAUAAUCUGGUCCCCAAAAGACAAGGCGCCCAAGCACACGGCCCAAAGCCUCUAUGUGUACUCAGACGGGCCCCAAAGGCCUAUAUCUCAUCUGUAUCAUCAUAUAUCGUCUGUAUCAUCAUAUCCCAUCUGUGUCAUAUGUAUCUCAAUAUAUGUAUAUCUGUAAUCACCAUACUGCAUGCACAUGCCCCUAAAAGACAAAAGCACCCAAACACACGGCCCAAAACCUCUAUGUGUGUUCAGACGGCUCCAAAAGCCUCUCAUCUCAUAUCAUCUGUAUCACUGUAUCUGGAGGGGAUGGGUACUGUCCAAUGAUUUUGUAAGCAACCAUUUUACACACAUGUACAUAAACAUAUAAUCACAUCUAAAUUCUCAUUUCCUUUUUAUUUAACAUAUCUCAAUUCCACUAAAUUCUCUUUAAAACUAUUAUCAUGAAUUUACUCAAAAAGCGAUAAUAAAAUCAUUAAUCAAACUCAUUCUCAAUAAUAAUAAAUAUCAGCACGCAGAUAAAAAUUUAUUUUCUAGAAAAUCAUUAAAUCGAAGCAUCAAAUACUUAUUAUCAAAACCUGUUAUACUGUAUGGUAAAAUCAGAAUAUAUUAUGAAAAUAAGUUUUGUAUAUUCCACUCACAGUGACAAUAUUCAGACUCGGUAUCAACAAUGUCCGCACGUUAAUUCUCGUUCGCGGGUCCUCCUAAUUAAGUAAACGACAAAUCAUUUUUCAUAAACAUGAAAUAUAAUAAAUUUUGGGUGAUUAAUCUCGAGACGAAUAUUUUUCCGCAUUCAACUAUUCUCGUAUGCAUCAAAUUACUAAAAUACCCUGUAUGCUGAAAUUACCAAAAUGCCCCCGGCAUAAAUAUUUAUCAAAUUAUCCGCAGAAUCCUAAAUUAUCACACUGCCCUCAAUACUGAUCACAAAAUAACCACAAUAUCAGAAAAUACGAAAUCACCCUCGAAGUGUAAAAUUACCAAAAUUGCCUUAACAACGUAAAUUAUCAAAUUACCCCCGAAAUCUCAAAUUACCUCACUGUCCUAGUCUGAAAUUACCAAAUUAUCCACUAUUUUCAAAAAUUACAAAUUUACCCCCAAAGUUUUAUGAAAUUACCGAAUUGCCCCUGCCGGUCAACGGUGACGGAAAGCUCAGGUCUGAAAUUUUCGGCCAUGCUGAGUCCAAUGGUGCCGGCGGUGAUCUCCCACGCUCGGUGACAAUGGCAGAUCGAGCUUCCCAAAUCCGUGAGCUCCAAGUGGUCGAUCGGCAGCAAUCCGGCCGUUGCAGGUGAUGGAACUGAUCGGAAAUGGGAGCUUCUGACGUGAGGAGUGGAACCCAGCCGGUGGCGCAGCUAAUUCGGACGAAAUCGACGGCGAUGGUGAUGGGUUUUGACCGCGGCUUUUCGAGCUUCCAACGGCGGCGUUCCGGUUAUGUUUCGACGGCGAGGAUGAUGCGGAUAUGAUGGCCGGCUACUAAGCUUCAAAUUGGUAUCUUUAUCGGCCGGUAAGGUGGCCGGAAUCGGCUGCUGGAGUCGGGUCAAGGACGCAGGUUUCCGGGUCGGAUCCGGGUCAAAACCGGGGCUAUCUCUCUCUUUCUCCUUCUCUUUCUCUCUCCCUCUCUCUCUCUCUCCUUUCUUCUCAAUUUAUAGAACGCAUCCCUUUCUUUUUUAGCUUAAUACAAAUUAAACUAAUA